UAUCAUUCUCAAGAAGAAAAAAAACUUGUAGAGUAGCUAAGAAAAAAUCUCAAUCUUAUUCUACUUUCACAGUAUAGGUCUAAUGAUCUGACAGUGGUAGGCUGGGAGCAGAAAAGAAUAAACCAAUUAUUUAUUGUUUCUAGCUACUAAUCUGAGGAAACAAAUACCACCAAAAGCUAUCCGGGGCCUGGAAGAAGUAGCCAGGUCACGGAUAAAUCUGUUGGUACUAAGAUGCAAAUGACCAUCGUUCAGUAGGCAAACGGAGAUAUCGAUGAGAGAGUCGUCUACAUCUCAUUAACCAGUAACAAUAUCCGUGGUAUCAGCAUGACCAUUUCACAAAUAGUAUAAAUACAAAUCAACAGAAACAAUGUCUCUAACCUCACUUUUUUGGUUGAGUUUUCGAUGAGAUUAAUGUUAAAUUCUUCUUUCUGCGGAAGAAGAAACUGUUGCCCAUGAAAUAAAGUUUUGGAGUUUUUACAUCUACUCUACAUUCAACCAUUUAUGCAAUUUAUUACCUGAAGAAAUAAUUUCUCAUAUCUGUGAUUAUAACCUAGAUAGAAGAUAGGUCUUAGACUAGAAGUGAAUAUAUGUAUUUCUGUAAUGGGGUAUGCCAUGAAAAAUUAUAAUAAGAAUUACUUAAAAGUACAUAUUUCACUGGACAAUAUAUAUGUCCCUCCCAAAAAAAUUUUACUCACAACAUUUCACUAAUUUAAGAGUCGACUUUACCAAGGCCAAGUCGGUUUUCCCCUUUCAAAAAGUCAACUUUUACUAACUCAAGGCAGUAAGAGUAUACUUUCCCUAGGUCGGUCUAGUCAACACUGUCUAGUAAAUGUUGUUCAAAAUUUAUCACUUUUCCCUUUUAAUCAACUUUUACUAAAAAGUCCACCAAGAGUUGACUUUACCUAGAAAGAGUCAUCUCUUACUGGAGAAUCCACUUUUCCUGUAACAUAUAUAACACACCGCUAAAAAAAGACGGCUUCAGGUUAUACUUGCAAGAUUCGAAACUAUAAUAGACAGCCUAAGUCUUGAUGUCACUGAGACGGGCGGAGCUUAUACCGACUCCAAACACUUCCGUUGAUAAUGGUAAAUGCCCAUAAUCAAUUUUUCAUUUACUGUUUUCGUGGUUUAUGUGAUAAAAUAAAACUUUUCAGUUGUAUAUAUUGUUGAAGGAACGUACUAUUUAAGAGGUUUUUAUUAGUUUUUCCCCAGGUUUUUAGAAUCUAGGACUGCUUCAGAAUGGGUAUGUGCUUUGUUCCAGACUAUAAACAUUACAGUUCAAAGCAUCAAUGCAAGUUUUUUCGGUUCCCAAAAAACUAGACCGAGAGGUAUAGAUGGAUUUCUCUCAGAAGAAAAGAUAGAGAAACAAGUGAAUUUGCAAAAGUGUGCGAUUGUCACUUUAUAAAUUAAAAAAAUAAUGGGCCAACUUUAUUUGAUUUCAAUAUUCAGAAGAAGUUUAAUAUAAAAUCACCCGAAAAAAGUUAUGCAUUUUGUUGCAGAAAGUCUAUUAGUCUAAUAAACCACUUUUUUUAGGAAGCGAACUGUGAAAAACCUUGUUACCGAGCUACUACCGGGACCUUCAACCGAACCACUACCAGGUCCUUCAAGUGAGCCACUACCAGGUCCUUCAAGUGAGCCACUAUCAGGACCUUCAACUGAGCCACUACCAGGACCUUCAACCAAACAACUGCCUAGGGCUUUGGUGGAUAAACUCUUCUGCAGAUUUCACUGGCCCAACCUCCGGUUUAGAAUCUCCUAAUGAUGAACAGGAUGGAUGAAGGUUAUUGAACUUGACAGCAAAAAAACCCUAUUUGAGGGACCAUAAACCUGCUAAUCCUAUUGGCUCACUAUUAUUUCUAUUACUAUACAAUACAAUUUGUAGUUUCUC